rnacentral:rRNA from 1 species
CGCGAAGAACCUUACCAGGUCUUGACAUCCUUUGACCACUCUAGAGAUAGAGCUUCCCCUUCGGGGCAAAGUGACAGGUGGUGCAUGGUUGUCGUCAGCUCGUGUCGUGAGAUGUUGGGUUAAGUCCCGCAACGAGCGCAACCCUUAUUGUUAGUUGCCAUCAUUCAGUUGGGCACUCUAGCAAGACUGCCGGUGACAAACCGGAGGAAGGUGGGGAUGACGUCAAAUCAUCAUGCCCCUUAUGACCUGGGCUACACACGUGCUACAAUGGGAAGUACAACGAGUCGCGAAGUCGCGAGGCUAAGCUAAUCUCUUAAAGCUUCUCUCAGUUCGGAUUGCAGGCUGCAACUCGCCUGCAUGAAGCCGGAAUCGCUAGUAAUCGCGGAUCAGCACGCCGCGGUGAAUACGUUCCCGGGUCUUGUACACACC